GAAAACCGCAAACAAACAAAAAAAAUCGUCUCUUUAUUUACCAAAAAAGUCUAUACGACUGACGCAUCUCGGCAGGGCUUAUUAUUGUCGGCAUCCAGGAUCACUUCCGGGUGCUUUUGGUGGUGGACAAGAGUCAGCAUUGGCACUCGGUCUGCAGCUACACAACCCCAUAAACAAUGAGAGAUUCAUGGUGCAGAAAAGUUUCAUACACUGCCUGAUGUCUGUAGUGUGGGGUGUUUAAAUGGAGAGGUAAUGUAUUGGGUGUAGACUCUCUUUAAGGCGUAGGAUUACAGAUUGGAACAAGAUCAUUAUAGAGUGAUGUUUUUGGUGUAGGUUUGGUUGCACAUGGAAUGCAAGGCUUAACUGGAUAACUAUGUUAUCCAUACUGGAUUCUUCAACUAUGUUGAAGAAGCAUAUCAUAUUAAAUAGUGUAAGAUACAUACAAUACUUAUAUGCAAAACAAAGGUAUGCAAACUGUAGUGCUGAUAUCUUGGCUUAGGUUUGUUUUCAUUUAUGACAUCAUUGAUAGGCUAAUAGCUGAACAAAGCAAUGCUGGUGGUUCUGUGUAGCCGAAUAAAAGCAGUAGUUCCUAGCACUAUAGAACCAUGGUUCUAUAGAAGGAAUGGAUAAAUGAAACCAGUAUGUAUAUCCUGAGGUGUCGUCUUAUAUUGCUAGUGUUUCCUUAAUCCAGAACUAGAUGCCGACUUGAACGCCUUUCAAACCUCCAUAGUAUGCUGUGGGAACUGUGAGAAAGGAGGGAUAUAUAUUUAUUUAUGUAUUUUCUGUCAUAAGUCAUCUUUUUACACCAGUAAUAUUACAUAAGUAUGAUUUGUAUCAUGACACAGAUUAUACCUAACACAUAUGGAUGUGACAUUAGAUAGGACUUAAAUGGCUGCAAGCAAAGCAGGAUUCUAAAAGCUUAGAAGUGUCAGAAAGCUUAGCCUUGGUGUAAGGAAAUUUAGACAUUAUGGGCAAAUGUGAUUAACCAUUGUUUUUUUUUUUUUGUGCCCAAAAAGUGUGUUUUUGCAGAUUUCCAUUCCUGCUAUUGAAACCAUUCCUAACCCAGAUCUAGGAGUGACCUGCUAUAGAACCAGCGUCCUUCAGAUGAAGACUUGCGCUGCUGAAUGGAUCCAUAUAGAGUCUUCUUUAGAAGUCUGAUUGGCAGAAAAUGGCUAAAUGCAUGUGAUACACCGUGCCACCACAUCUACAUUUAUACUGUGUAGUAGGCUAAUUGAUUGACUAUGAAGCAGAACAUGAAUCCCAUCAGUUGGAGAUUUUGUCAAGCUGCAUGUUUAAAAAAAAAUUGGCCACCAAAUUAAUUACUUAUUGAUCUCAAGAAAUGAUGACCAUUAACAUUGGUCUGAAUAAAAUACAUCAUUAAUUCCUCUAUUAGGUUUUAAAUCAGCAAUUUAAAUAUACGACAAUAAAUAUGUCAUUUGAUUGGUCCUAAUUUGUGAUGCCUUAAGUGUUUUACCUGAUUUGGGGUAGGUGGAGAUGAGCAAA